rnacentral:rRNA from 1 species
UAGAGCUAAUACAUCCUUAAACGGAACUUGGAAACCGUGGACUUAUUAGAUCAAGAGCUGCCCUUUUCGGAGACAAGCUGAUCAUAGUAAUUUCGCUAUCGCAGUGGUUUGUGCCGGCGAUGGGUCAUCAAAUUCUGCCCUAUCAGCUGUGAUGUUAGUGUAGUGGACUAACAUGGCAUAAACGGGUGACGGAGGAUUAGGGUCUGAUUCCGGAGAGGGAGCCUGAGAAAUGGCUACCACUUCCAAGGAAGGCAGCAGGCGCGUAAAUUACCCAAUCCCGAUACGGGGAGGUAGUGACAAGAAAUAGCAAUACCGGAUCUUUUAAGAUCUGGUAAUUGGAAUGAGUACAAUCUAAAAUCCUUAACUAGGACCCAUUGGAGGGCAAGUCUGGU